UCGCGAAUCCCGGCGGUCGCCUUCAGCCGCUCGAAGUGCUCCUCCGUGUGCAGGCGCAGUAUCUCAUCCUUGGUGGCCGAUCUCGAGGGCAACUCCAGGCAGCGCUCCGCCAGAUUGAGUUCGCGGCAGCUGAAGAAGAUUAGACGCGUGUGAAGCGCUCGGGACACUCGUAGUGCUCCUUGUCCCACAGGCAGCAGUGCUGGCUCAUGGACUCAUCGUAGAUCAGGGCAGUGGGUUUCCGCACCAGACCCUUGCAAUUGACAGCCUGAAAGAUCACUUGGGUUAGGUUUGCACGAGGAUAGAGGAUGGAGGAUAGAAACCAGAUAGGACUCACAUUCUGGAAUAUAUCCGUGACGCACUCCUGCGCGCCGGAACCCUGAUUCUUGAGCAUGUUGUUCCGUGCUCGACGUUUUGCCUCCAAGAGCGCUGCGUUCGGUUUGUUCGUCUUUCUCGGAUCGGCGGCAUUAAAUCCGCUGCUGAUACUGCCGCUGCUGCCGCCGCCGCCGCUGGCAGAGCCACCGCUGAUCACUCCCGCCGCCGUCGCCGCCGCCCCUGCCGUGCCCGUCUUCGAUUUACUGGCCAUUGCCCGCGUCUGAAUCUUCGCCUGCUGCGCGCUCCGUCGCGUGACUAUGGGCGGGCUCUGCGAAAACGAAUUUGAAUCUUUAGUAACCAGCUUCAGUUGGGUAGACAGAUAUGCCCGGUUGGUGUCCAGUAUCCGAGCAGUUUCUAGCGGGGAUUCAUGCAUAGAUGGAUCUUGACUGCUGCUCCCAAUGGCGAAUUUGAAUGCCCACUCGAGUGGGACAAGUGCUCAGGCAUUCAGUUCCAGUUCCCUAACGCUUUUCAAACAAUGCUAUUUUCAUGGUAUAGAAUGCUAUAAAAGAAUCGACGAAUAUUACUACGUAAAAAAUAUACAUAUAAACCCAUAAA